AUACGUAGGCACCAAGCGUUGUUCGGAAUUACUGGGCGUAAAGCGAGUGUAGGCGGUUUGCCAAGUCCGUUGUGAAAUCUCCUGGCUCAACUGGGAGGGUGCGGCGGAAACUGGCAGGCUAGAGUGCGGAAGAGGAGAGUGGAAUUCCUGGUGUAGCGGUGAAAUGCGUAGAUAUCAGGAGGAACACCGGCGGUGAAGACGGCUCUCUGCACCGCUACUGACGCUGAGACUCGAAAGCGUGGGGAGCAAACAGGAUUAGAAACCCCGGUAGUCC
rnacentral:rRNA from 1 species